UCAACUGCCAGAGUCUCUCCUGUCCCCUCUAGCUAGGCUGCGUGGGGACCUGGAUUCAGCCAGAGACAGAAGCAGUGGUAGCAGGCCCAGGCACCCAAGGAAGAAGCAGCCCGGGGAGUGCCCUCCACAGCAGAGUGGCAGAUGGUCACAGCCAGGACCGGAGCAGCUCGCAGCGAACCGGUACCAGCUUCUCCAGUCUGACUGGUGAACAGGUACGAGGCCCUGGCGACCCUGCAGGAGAUGGAAGGGGAGGAGGAAACCCUUGGGCAAGAAGAAACACCACGUUCUUCACACUCCAAACAGAUCAAGAGAUCCACGAGGACCCAGAGGAGGAGGCGACGAGUGCUCGUCAUAGGCGACUCCAUCCUGAGAGGUACGGAAGGACCCAUCUGUCACCAGGACCCCUCGGCACGAGAGUGACCGGACGAGGAAGACGGCAGGAGAACUGCAUCAGAGAGACCAACUGGCGGCUUCGGCAGUGGUGUCUCGAGACAGGCUUCGGAUUCCUGGACAAUGACCUGCACAUCACGACGAGGGACAUGCUCAGCUGGGAUGGGCUUCACCUGUCCCCCAAAGCCAAGGAGACACUUGAAAGAGGAGAGAAGACUGGCUUGUAGAUCAGAAUGGCAGGACGUUGAAUGCAACCUGGAAGAAGAUCACAGAGGAAGUUAUGGAGGAAGCAAACAAGAUGUCAAAUUAAUAGCAUUUAUCAUGAAGCUAGCUAAAUCUUUAUAGUUUUACCAGGUCCUGAGAAUGUUUAGCGUGGCAUUAUUUCAAAGCCAUUUUGCUUCAUACCCUCUUCAAACUUAAAUAACUUGAUCUGGCUUCCUGGAGCCAUGGAAAUCCUUGAAAAUUACAUUGCUGUAGUCUUUGAAUGAGGUAGCAGAUCAAGAGCUGAUCUGCAAUUCCACUUCUACAGCAGCUUUCUGCCCUAAUAAGUUAAAUCAACACACUAGAUCAAGGUUAAGGUCUUUUGGGGCUAUUUAGCAUUGCAAAAAAGACUUCUUUUAUUUAGCAUUUGGAAAGUGAUAUCUAAAGGUUUAUAUCAUUAGCUAAAGGAUAUGGAGAACCAAAAUGGCAUCUUUUUGAAGCAAUUAGAUGUGGGCAUGUCAUUUGUGUGUACUUUGCUUAUAUAAGCGAAUGCAUUUAAGUUCAAGUAGAUAAGUUGCUUAAAGAUGAAGUCAUAAUUCUGGGAGGCUAGUCCAAGGGUGGGCAAAAUACAGCCCGUGUGCUGGAUCUAGCCUGCCAGGCCAUUCUGUCUGGUCUGUGGGGCCCCUAAACAUUUUAGAGAAUUAAUAUUUAGCUGCCCCUAGCUGCCUGUCAAAGAUGACAAAGUGCCAGUGGCAGUAGGACCCAGGGGAACUGAUGGCAGGACCCAGAGGCUGCAGCAGCAUGGUCUACCAGCCCUGCCCCAACCUCAGCUGCCCCCAUCCCCCAUCCCCCAGCUGGAAGCUUCAGUCUAGCAGAGGUUUCUGGCCUGGAUACCCUGGGGCUGUUCCCUACCAGACAGCAGAGAAUCAGAUAAGAAUGGGUGGAGUGGGGAGGGGAGGAAGGAUUGCCGGUGCAGCAGGAGCCAGUGCAGUCCAGCCAGCACCACAUGUUUCCCAGCUGGCUCCUGCUGCACCAUGGGAUCCCAGUCUUGCAGCCAGGAACCACGCAUUGCAAGAGCGUCAGGUAGGUGGGUGGGGGAGUGGCAGGUGGGCAGGGAAGGAAAGAAAGUGGCAGGGGAAAAGCAGGUGGCGGUAGGCAUGUGGGAAAAAGUGGCAGUGGGCAGGAGUGCAGGGUCCCGGGGGCCAGGGCCAACAGCAGCAGGAGCAAGCUGGGAACUGUGGGGGCUGGUCUGGCUCCUGCUGCAUUCUGUGGUCCCCGCAUUAUAGCUGGGAACUGUGAGCUGAUGGGAAGGUGCCCAGGUGGGCUGGCCAGUUCUGUGCUGUGCUGAAGAAUGCAGCAGGAGCUAGCUCAGCCCCCACAGUUGCCAGCUGCCUUCUGCUGCCGCCUUUGUAGUGGGGGCCAUAUGCCUGCAGCUCCCAUGCUGGAGCUGGCUGCUUUCCCCACCCCCUGCUACACAGGUCCAUGGACUCCGCUGGGAGUGGAAGGAGCCCCAUACCCUGCUUCCCUGCGGAGUCUAGCACAGGGCUUUCCCGGUAUGAGUCCAGGAGCUGCAGGCAUGUGGCACGGAGCCCCCAUGAUACAGGUGGGUGGGCAGGCUGCUCUUCUUGCCCCCCACAUGCAGCACUGGCUGGAGCCAUGCCCCACUGGGAGCCAUCUCCUGUUCUGGGCAUGAGCACCCUGGAUCCCCCACCUACUGCUGUUGCCAUCAGUGGGGGCUGCACACUAUGUGGGGGAGAGUGUGGGGGGGGUCCCCUUACCUCUUACCCUCCCUCACACCCCACAAACUUCACACACCCACACCCUGCCCCCACAGUCCCCAUGACAUAUACACACACCCCAGCAUACCCUAUGCCCCCCACAUAACCACACCCCCUCACAACCUCCCCCACUCCCACACCCCACUGUACACACCCCUGUACCCCACAUACACUCCCACACCCUACACCCCCACACACUAUAUAAAAGAGUGAGACUUUAUUUUUAGUUAUUAUGAAAUCCUUUCUAUAUACAGUAUACAAACACAAAUCAUGACAAGUAUUUUUUGUAAUAAAAUUAAAAUAUGUUUUAGCAGAUGUUUUA